UACGAAGGGGGCUAGCGUUGUCCGGAAUUAUUGGGCGUAAAGAGCUCGUAGGCGGCUUGUCGCGUCGGAUGUGAAAGCCCGGGGCUUAACUCCGGGUCUGCAUUCGAUACGGGCAGGCUAGAGUUCGGUAGGGGAGAUCGGAAUUCCUGGUGUAGCGGUGAAAUGCGCAGAUAUCAGGAGGAACACCGGUGGCGAAGGCGGAUCUCUGGGCCGAUACUGACGCUGAGGAGCGAAAGCGUGGGGAGCGAACAGG
rnacentral:rRNA from 1 species